rnacentral:sRNA from 1 species
GCCGCAGCGGCAAGAGCGCUGCCGAGAACCUGCAGGCCGCGUAAGGAAUCGUCUUCGAUCCGCGACCGCGGAUGUACCGGCGCGGAUCGUCGAGACGACUGGAGAGGUCGGGCCAACGCCCGGCCUUUUUGCUU